UUUCAGUUUUUUUGAAACUGUCAGUGUCAAAAAAAACGAAAAUGGGUCGAUUUGUCGAAACGAGGGAAAGGUGUUCUGUCGCCCAUGUUUCGUUUCAAAUUAUAUUAUUUGAAACGAUCGUUCCCGAUCGUUCCCGAUUGUUCGCGAUACAGAGAGGAGAGCAGGGAGGAAAGGAGAGAGAACAAACGUCUCACAUCCAUGCUCGAACUGCGAUUUCUCCACCUCAGAUACAGAGAUCAAGCUACCCAAAUUGUUGGUUUCGAACAUCUUUUGGAACUCGCAUAGGGAGAGGAGAGACUGAGAAACAGGAGCCCUAAGCCCCCUUGUGAAAUCUCCUCUACACUACCUUCGUUUCACAUCGCUGUGAAGAAACCCCUAGACCCGACGAUUUUGGCUAAAAUCCUCUCAACAUCGGUAGUGCGAGUCAGCUGGAACCCUUUUGGUGAAAUUUCUGCUCACCAUCUCUCUCGUCUCUCAGAUCUUACAGCUAUUAUGUCUGGAAGUAGCAUCCCUGCCAUUAAGUGGUCAGAAUUUGAGACCACUGUUUUCAUUGAAGCAAUGAAAGAAGCUGUAAUAAAUGGUCACAAAUCCGGUAAUUCAUUUAACAAAACUGGAUGGG